UACAGAGGUCCCAAGCGUUGUUCGGAUUCACUGGGCGUAAAGGGUGCGUAGGCGGUCGGGUAAGUCUGAUGUGAAAUCUCACAGCUUAACUGUGAAACUGCAUUGGAUACUAUCCGGCUCGAGGAAUGGAGGGGAGACUGGAAUACUUGGUGUAGCAGUGAAAUGCGUAGAUAUCAGGAGGAACACCGGUGGUGUAGACGGCUCUCUGGACCAUAACUGACGCUGAGACACGAAAGCGUGGGUAGCAAACAGG
rnacentral:rRNA from 1 species